rnacentral:rRNA from 1 species
CCCGGAUCCAGCCGAAGGGGGCUAGCGUUCUUCGGAAUUACUGGGCGUAAAGGGCGCGUAGGCGACUGACCAGUCAGGGGUGAAAUCCCGAGGCUCAACCUCGGAACUGCCUUUGAUACUGUCAGUCUAGAGUCUGUGAGAGGAUGACGGAAUACCCAGUGUAGAGGUGAAAUUCGUAGAUAUUGGGUAGAACACCGGUGGCGAAGGCGGUCAUCUGCGCAACGCUGACGCUGAGGGCCGAAAGCGUGGGGAGCAAACAGGAUUAGAUACCCUGGUAGUCCACGCCGUAAACGAUGUGUGCUAGUU